AUAUAUAUACACACGCACAACACACACACACACACACACACACACACACACAUUACGGAUUCUGAAGCACUUCUGGAAAUGACUUUCAGCAUUUAAGCGACUUGCUGCAAAUAUAAUAACAAUUAUUAUUGUUAUUUGUCUCCCAUCUCCACAUACAGAUUUUUGAAUAAACAAGUGUCAAGGUUACAAGGAAAAUGGGAAAAACUGAGUAACGUACUGUCAUAAAGUACCUUCAUUUGAAAGGCAUGACUCCAUCAGAAGUCCAUGAAGAUAUGGUGAGAACCGUAACAGACAAUGCUCCUUCAUAUGCAACAGUCAAACGAUGGGUAAAUGAAUUCCAGCAUGGCAGGGAGAGUGUGGAAGAUGAUCUCUGACCAGGGAGGCCUCCAACUGCAACCACCGAGGACAACCUUGACCUUGCUCUUGGUAUGUUAAUGCAAGAUCACUGAAUAUAAUGUCGUCAGAUAGCCGAGAGACUGGGCAUCUCAACUGAAAGAGCAGACAACAUUUUGACAAAAGAACUUGGGUUCUCCUCGCCUUUUCACUCCUGAACAGAAACGCAGCAGGGGCACUUUGUCCAUGAGCAAUCUGGAACUGUUUGAAGCCGAUGAAGAGAAUUUUCUUGCUCGUUUCAUUAUUAUGGACGAAAGUUGGGUUCAUCACUACCAGCCUGAAACCAAAGAACAAUCAAAGCAGUUGAAGCACUCAUCUUCUCCUACCCCCAAAGAAGGCCAGGGUCAUUCCUUCAGCUGGCAAGGUCAUGAUGUCCGUUUUUGGGAUUCUCAAGUUGUCUUGCUGAUCAAUUAACUUGAAAGGGUCACACAGUGACGGGGCUGUAUUAUUGUCGGCUACUAAAAUGCCUUCGAGAAGCAAUCAAAGAAAAAAGACCGGCAAUGCUCACCAGAGGAGUCUUUUUUCAUCACGACAAUGCUCCAACCGACACCUCAGUGGUUGCCAUGGCAACAAUUCAUGAUUGUGGACACAAACUUGUUCCCCAUCCACCUUAUUCGCCAGACUUAGCCCCCUCUGACUUUCAUCUAUUCCCAAAAAUGAAAAAAAGCCCUGGAUGGACGCCAUUCUGCCAGUGACAAUGAGGUCAUAGACACUGUAGGAAGUUUCUUAGAGUCUCAAACAAAAGAGUUCCUCUACGCCAGGAUAAUGGCACUUCAACACUGCUGGAGAAAGUGUUCAGCCAUCAAAGGGGAUUAUGUUGAAAAAUAAAUCAUCAGAAGUCUUGUACUA